UCUCUGGUAGUAUACCGGUUAAUACACGCGCUGUUCAUAGUAUGUGUAAAUAUCAGCUACGACGCGCGGAAGCUGGGUUCGACUCCCAGCCAGGGAG